rnacentral:rRNA from 1 species
CCUACGUUCUUCCGCCGUUCUUACUAUUGGUCCAUGGGCGCGAGCCUGAACCAGCCAAGUCGCGUGAGGGAAGACGGUCCUAUGGAUUGUAAACCUCUUUUGUCGGGGAGCAAAAGACGCCACGCGUGGCGUUCCGAGAGUACCCGAAGAAAAAGCAUCGGCUAACUCCGUGCCAGCAGCCGCGGUAAUACGUAGGAUGCGAGCGUUAUCCGGUUUUAUUGGGGUUAAAGGGGGCGCAGGCGGAAGAUCAAGUCAGCGGUAAAAUUGAGAGGCUCAACCUCUUCGAGCCGUUGAAACUGGUUUUCUUGAGUGAGCGAGAAGUAUGCGGAAUGCGUGGUGUAGCGGUGAAAUGCAUAGAUAUCACGCAGAACUCCGAUUGCGAAGGCAGCAUACCGGCGCUCAACUGACGCUCAUGCACGAAAGUGUGGGUAUCGAACAGGAUUAGAUACCCUUGUAGUC